GUAUUAUGUAGCUUAAUAACAAAGCAUAGUGCUGAAGCCACUAAAAUGCAUUGUAUAUAU
rnacentral:tRNA from 1 species